CUAAAAGUCAUGCAGUAAUAAUAGUAUAAGCAUAGCACGUGCAAACGUCGAGCCACAAAGAGCGAAAGAGAACAUGCCGAACGUGGAAACAUUUAAACAAUUUGCCAGGGGCCUUAAUUGUUUUCCGUUUCCCUGACGAUGGCUAGCUGAAAAGAUGGAGAGUUUCAGUGAAUAGAUUAGCGCACGCUCCAGCAGUCAUGACAAAAUCCCUCUUAACCCCGCGAGCCCGCCAUCAGAGCGCCCCGCCGCAGAUAUCACUCGCUCCUCAGUGUUAUUAAACACAACUUUGCAGAUUCAGUCCGCCGCGAGUGCCAUUUAGCCGCGCGGAGCAGGAAGGAAGCGUGUGGGGGAAUUACAGGUUGCCAGCGCGACUGACAGGGGUUGAUUUGGGUGUGCGGUGUGUGCAGGCCUCCCUCAGAGUGUUGUGACAGGCGGUCAUUACAGCACACGUCUCCACACUCAGCUGCACCAGACGCCGCAUGCAAAUGGACACAAAUGGGCUCCACUGUACGCCGGAGCUAAUGACACUUUCUGCUGCUCUUCUUUAAGGUGGAAGCUGAACGCUCGCGGCUGCACACUUCAUAAAUCAGUACAGUGAGGCCCAUUAGAGGACGGGCCCUCGGCAGAUCCUUCGGUCGAGAGCUGCAGGAAGUCAUGGAGGUUUGGCCCGGGACGCCUCCGGAUUACGAGCGCUUCUGUAAGCCUUCGAUUCUUCCAGCUCUAUUCUUUCCCCGGACUCGCCUGAGACCGCGCUCAAACGCCCAGCCAAUGAAAAAAAGAUUACGCCCGGAUACCAAGUGUCUCCCAUCGGCCCCUCAGGCCCCUGCUGGACGAGGAACAAUGUGUAGCAGUGUUCCAGGCGUUUGGGCAACCGGGGCAGUGUGAGCGUUCGGCGGGCUCAGCUGCGGAUGCAGAUUGUGGAAGCGGAGUGGAAGACUUGACAAAGCUGCGGUUUAAAGUGUCUGAGAGCCACACAGAGAGCAGAGCAACCUCGAGUCCCGCAGAGAGACAGACCGCACAGGGACUGAGAUUACCACACAAACAUCACAGAGACAGGACUCUAUACUGGUGCCUCGCAAC